GACGAACGCUGGCGGCGUGCUUAACACAUGCAAGUCGAACGGAAAGGCCCUGCUUUUGUGGGGUGCUCGAGUGGCGAACGGGUGAGUAACACGUGAGUAACCUGCCCUUGACUUUGGGAUAACUUCAGGAAACUGGGGCUAAUACCGGAUAGGAGCUCCUGCUGCAUGGUGGGGGUUGGAAAGUUUCGGCGGUUGGGGAUGGACUCGCGGCUUAUCAGCUUGUUGGUGGGGUAGUGGCUUACCAAGGCUUUGACGGGUAGCCGGCCUGAGAGGGUGACCGGCAACAUUGGGAAUGAGAUAAGGACCAGACGCCUACGGGAGGCAGCAGUGGGGAAUAGUGCACAAUGGGCGGAAGCCGGAUGCAGCAACGACGCGUGCGGGAUGACGGCCGUCGGGUUGGAAACCGCUUUCGCCUGUGACGAAGCGUGAGUGACGGUAAUGGGUAAAGAAGCACCGGCUAACUACGUG
rnacentral:rRNA from 1 species